rnacentral:rRNA from 1 species
UACGAGGGGUGCAAGCGUUGCUCGGAAUUAUUGGGCGUAAAGGGUUGGUAGGUGGUCUUGUUUGUCUAGGGUGAAAUCCCAUGGCUUAACUGUGGAAGUGCCCUAGAAACGGCAAGACUAGAGUCCUAGAGGGGUUUGUGGAAUUCCCGGUGUAGCGGUGAAAUGCGUAGAUAUCUGGAGGAACACCGGUGGCGAAAGCGGCUCACUGGACCUGAUCUGACACUGAGGUGCGAAAGCUAGGGUAGCAAACGGG